UACGGAGGGUGCAAGCGUUAUCCGGAUUCACUGGGGUUAAAGGGGGCGUAGGUGGGUCUGUAAGUCAGGGGGGAAAUCUCCAAGCUUAACUUGGAAACUGCCGUUGAUACUAUAGACCUUGAAUGCUGUGGAGGUGAGCGGAAUAUGUCAUGUAGCGGUGAAAUGCUUAGAUAUGACAUAGAACACCAAUUGCGAAGGCAGCUCACUACCCAGAUAUUGACACUGAGGCACGAAAGCGUGGGGAUCAAACAGG
rnacentral:rRNA from 1 species